GUGAAAGGACACGCAUGCAUUGCUAUGCCCUGCAGCACUUUGCUGAUCUCAGGUCUUCACUGGUUGUCACUUCGUAGAGAGAAGUGCACCAAAGAAUUUCUUAUGGUGUCCCUGCUGAUUUUCACUACCUCUGCUGACUUGUGACCAUUCAACAGAACAUGUUUUUUUCUGGAUCAAGCCACUGCUACUGAUGUAUGUUUAGUGUUUGCUGUAGGACCAGAGUGCUGCUAUCAUGAUAACAAAGAGUGGGACUAUCCCAAAGAACUACUACUAAACAGAUCCACAACUCCCUUUUCCUAUAACCUUUUCUCCCACCUCUGGUCAGUGGGCUAGAAGAGAGGGUGAAGUGUUCUAGAAACCUAAAUAAAGUAGGUUUAGAAAAAUCCAAGCCUUCAAGAAAGAAAGAAGGGGAAGAGGUGGCUCACACCUUUUAUUCCAAUGCUCAGGAGGCAGAGGCAGGUGGGUCUCUUUAAGCCGAGCCUGGUUUACAGAGGAGUUCCAUCUUGAGAAACAACAAAACAAAACAAAACAAAACAAAACAAAACAAAAAGUGGGCAUUUGAGGAGCAACCAGGUCUUAGAGAGAGCCAGGGUCUUAAUCUCUACCAAGGGGUUGUCAGCCUGCACCUAGGGUGUAUCAUGUACACUCAGCAUGCCACUCACACGCCUCCUUAUGUAACUUUAACUAUACCAGUUACUUUCAAUGUAAUUGAGGCAAUACGCCUGACAGAAGCAGUUUAGAGGGAGGAUCUAUUUCGACUGACAGUUUUAGGAAUUUCAUACCAUGGAACCAGGGAAGCCAUGGUAGAAUGGCUUAGUCCAAGACAGUGGUCCACAUCAUGUCUGUGUUUGCAGUGAAACUAGUAUGAAAGGAAUGUAUCCACUGUCAGCUAUAUAAGAGAAUGGCAUGUGGGAUAUAAGCAUGUGGGAAUGCCUCUGUCCAUAAGACACAAGACAGCUUACAUUGUAGCUCCUAGGAAGUACAGAGCACCAACAAAAACCAGGGACUGAUAAAGCUUUCGAAGGGCCACAUGACCUAUUUGACUUGCUAGACCACACUCUACCCCUAACCUCAAUGUUCUACUUGGUUCCCGCAGCUUUCCUCAGCAGCAUGAUCCUGACGUCUCCAGCUCUCGGAAUCUGUGUAGACUUCACCUCCACAGAUGCACGUGUAGUCCUCAGAUCCCGACAGUGAAGCUGACCCUAGUAAACAUUACCUGUCCUCAUAGACUUUCGGUGGUGUCUUGGUAUAGCCUUUGCUUUUUUUGUCGCUUAAGCCCAGGAAUACACUCUACCAGGAGACUCUCCCAGGGGACACCACCACUACCUCCUGCAGCAGCAGCAUCUUUUUAAAGCACAUACCUUUCAAAGGAAAGUGGGAUGGGUUUGCAUUCUUGUACCUUGCAGCUUCCAAUGAGAAGGGCCUUUCCCCGCAGCACAUCCCUCCUGUUCUGGAGCAUUCUUGAACGAUUACAGCUGAUCAAUCUACACUUAUGUGCUCAACUUCUUCAAACACACUCCUGUUCCCCAAACUUACCAUUUUUCAACUCCGCGGUUUGCUCCUGAUUUUCGGAAUAAACCUAGGUUAAAGCAGCAAGCAGACUGCAAUCUGAAGGCUUUGCUGUCUUGAAAGGUCAUCUCCCCAACAAGCUCCCCGCCACUUCUGGAUUUGCCCUCAUUCAAAUACUAGAACAUGAGCAGAUUCUCAGGCAGAAUGAGGCAUGAACAGCCUCCAGUCCAGUAGGCAGGGAUGCACUACUUCACUCACAUCAGAGACCUCAUGAAGUCAGUCUGUACUAUCUUCAGAUCUAAUGGUAUUCUGAGCUUCCACAGUUCCAAUAAAAUCAAGUUAAGAGACCCUUAGCAUUCUAGGGCUCCUAAAUUCACACCUACAAAUUUUUUCACGUUUUUCCAACACACUAAUUUCAAUUUUUUUAUUAGUCACUUUUCUCAUUGCUGUAAUGUGUACCUGACAGAAAACUUAAGGGAAGAAGGAUUUAUUUUUGACUCAUGGGCUCAGAAAGUUCUAUUCAGCACAGCAGGCACAUCAGCGGGCCUCAGUCGGUGGCAGUGGCAAUUUGUAGAAGAUAGUUCCUAUGGGCAGCAGCCCAGGAAUCUGAGAGUGUCAGGCAGAACUAGAUGGACAAAACCUUUAAAGAAUGACUCUAAGUGAUCUAUUUUCUACAGCAAGGUCCUACCUCCUAGGUCUCAAGAUCUUCAAAAUAGCACCACAACUGGGAGAUCACAUAUUCAAACCACAAACCUGUAAGAAACCUCUCAGAUUCACACCAAGCCAGCAUUCCUCCUUGUCCUGCUUUUCCUGUGGAAAUCACAGACACAGCUAGUCUACACUUUCUUCUGAGCCUUCUUGGGUCACCUUGCCAGCAGCUGAUAACAGCCUCUGUGGCCUUGCAAGGCAUGUAGUGACUCCUCUCUAGGACCUAGGAGUAUAAUAAACUUAUUUCUCCUAAGGCUAUUUCUCCUUCCUUCCUUCCUGUGGCCACAUCCUUUACCAGAUCUAACAUAUAAAUUCCCAGAGCAACAACUAUUCUAAUUCAUUACUAAAUAAGCACCUGCUCCCAUGCUUAAUGAGCCAUUCCUUGCAGUGUUUAGAGGGGUUCGGUGGAAUUAUGGAGUAUCCUAUCAUUAAAUGAGGAAAUUAGCAAGAAGAAUGAGGUUGAAGGUCGAGGCAGUAUGGCUGGUGGGUGUGGAAUUGGGUCUGGGGGCUGCUGGUUAGUGAAAAAUCUCUUUUUAAAAAGGAGACGGGGUGGUGGUCUGUGGUGAGUCUGGACAUAGGUUGUCUGAAUGUGAGACCCUGCUCUCCCCUUCAAGCUGUUUCUCUCAAAGCAGAAGAAACUGGUUUGAGGAUCCCAUCUAAGUACUAAUAAAAAGCAAGAGCAUAGGCAUUAAGUAUAAUACCCUGCAGAGUGUUCAGUGUAACAACUUGUAAGCAGCCACUCUCCUACUCCUUACAGAUGAAAAUUAGCUAAGGGUAGCCCCUACACUAGAGGGAGCAUAAACAGUAAUUGUAGCAGUCUGGAAAAUGCUCAGCCUUGUACCUUUGUGAUCACAUGAUGUGAUCUCUGCAUUGGUGAUGACAAAAGCCAACAUUUCUCCGCACAGCACACAGCUCUGUGUGUGGAUCUCAGCCAGCAAUAUCCAGGAGUAAGAGUGACCAAGGGAGUGCAAAGACUCUCUGUCCAGGGCCCUGACAUAACCUUAGAUCCAGGAAUUCCCAUUUAAGGUCUAGAAGCACUGAGUGCUUCUGGUCCAUCCUAGACUCUAUGGAAAGUUGCCCUUCCUAGUCAAACUGCUAUAGCUGAACCACCAUUCUGCACCCUCCACAUUGGAUUUGAUUCCAUAGAUUGCUUGCCCUAAAAGGUUGAAAUUACAGUGUUCAUAUUGCGAUAAAAGUCCUUGCCUUAGCACUCCUGUUAUUUGUUAAAAUGCGUAAUAGCCGUCUCUAAGAACCUGGCAUUAGAGAUGGAGGGGGCGCACUGGGCCCUGUGCCAGCAGUAAUUGAUGCAUCUCUGAGUUAGCAGAGGCAGCUGUGUGUCUUGAGUAUAGGGUCCUAGAAAUGGGGCUGGAUGGAAGGGUCAUGAAUUUGCAUAUUGUGGUAAAUCACCUAUCCAAAGAAUACAAAGAGGACCCUGUCAGACCUCAGUAUCAGUGGGACAUCACACAGGAAGCCCAUUUGCAGGUAUUUGACCAGAAUCAGGAAAGUUUUUCACAAGAGUGGCCUAUCUCUUGUCUCCCUCAGCAUGGGUCUACCUGGUUUUCUGUGUUCAUGUCGCAAUAUGAACACUCUUUGGAAAGUAAGCUGAUAAAAUAAACCCCCCAUCAAAGUGUUUAAUUCAGUCAUGUCUCACUAAAAGGUGUAGCUACUACUAAUCAAAUUUCAGCCUAGAAGUUCAAGAGCUCAGAUUUUGUCCUUACCAGGGAGGAGGCCUCUGAGAGGUUAUCCAACUCCGUGUGAUCAGCCCUAAAUGGAGCAACACUUAAUUGACUUAGCAGGAGAUGUGUAUUCAUGCAGGCCUGUGUAUGCCCCCACCGUGUGUGUGUGUGUGUGUGUGUGUGUGUGUGUGUGUGUGUGUGUGUGUGUGUGUGUGCAUGAUGCUGGAGGAGCUUCAGAAGGGAGAAUAUGGAUGGGAAUGAUGUAAACACAGGGUUUGUGUAUGAAAUUAUCACAAAAAUAACUAAGUAAAUGUAAAAGGGGGGUUAGGAGAGAUUUUGGAGCAGACUAGUUAUCUAAGACAAGUUAGACCUCACUGGCUGAGAGUGUUCAAUACCCCACCCCUUCAUCCAGCUUUGCUCCCCACAAGGCCUGUGCAGAAGGAUGUAUCAAAUCUGCUUGGAAGGAGGAAGGGUGGCUCUAUUUUUAGAGUUCAUUGCAAGAUUCCCCUUCACCCUCAACCAACAGAACUACUGAAGUGUCAAUGGUCUGAAGGGCACCUUUUCAGAUGAAGGAUCCCAAGCAAGCUCACCACUCAUCUGAGAUCAAGCUGUGCAUGGAUUGAUCUCCAGAACCAUGAGUAUGCCUUCCUCCGAAGUGUGGAAGAGUCAGAAGCUCUCAUCUCCCUCCAACAUAGGACUCUAAGUGGUGUGAAUACACCCAGCAAUGCUUUGCUUGCCCCACGUUCUCCUUGAGACUCAUUUAGUACAAAAACUAACAGUCAAUAUUUCCGUCACCCCACUUUUCCUGCUAACUGUCAUGACUUAAGUACUAAGGGCAAGUCAGGGGUGCUCAAAAGGAAACAAAAAAGAAUUCCAAAAGAGCUCUGGGCACAAAAACAGCUUUAAAAGAUGGGCAUUCAUGGCUCAUCUUUUUUAGUAACUGGGUGACUCACCCUAGUCCACAUAAAGCAAAGAACCUUAAUGUUACAGCCUGCUUUGAAGAAGAGCUGCCUCCGUUGAGUUCAAAGAGAAUAAAAAAGUAGGUCAGUUGCCCAGGGUUUUUAAAGAAGAAAAAGGAAACACACACACACACACACACACACACACACACACACACACACACACACAUUUCCAGUGAAGCCACCAUUGUCUUGGUUCCUAACCAAAUAAAAUAAAUAAACUAGUAGGUUUUGAAUUUAUAUCAAAGUAGCAACACGAAUGCCAAAGAAACACAAGUUAUUUAAGCUGCUUGUGCAGUAACUCCCUCCAUGUCUCCCUCUGGCUUAGUGUGUGGGAACAUUCUGAGCCUAAGGAACAGGGAGAGGGUGGAUCAUUUCCUGGUAUGCUGGUGUCAGCCUUGAUCAUCCCUCAGGGCCAGUCCUGGGACAUGGUUACUCACAGAAACCACAAUCUCUUCUCAUCCCUUAUCCACCCAUUUAUGUGUCAAAUGCUCAUAUUCCAACUUAUGAGGCAUUCUUUUAUUUCAACCACCCAGGACUCAGAGGAAGCACACCCUUGUCGAUGGUGACCAUGUUCUCAUGAAAAGCCCCUGGCCAGGCACUGGCCUCAGAAUGUCUCACUUUGGUCCAUUUGAUAAUUAGGUUGAAAGCAAGAUAUUUUUCCUACAUUGACCAAGUAUUGUUCUUAAAUACAGAACCUGGGGUCUAAGUUUAUCUUCUUCCUGCUCAGAUUCUUUCUGUCUGACUCUAGGUCCAUUCCUGGAGUCACCUAGCUGGUGGUUUCCAUAUCAAGCUACAUGUAUCAAACCUCUGGUAUAUUUUUUCUCAUUACUUAUCUCCAGUAGAAUUUCCCCAUGGGUCACCUCUCACUAGUCUGUGAGUUUCUUGAAUGGAAGUGGUAACAUAUUAUUGUUUUAAAUGAAACUGUCUUGCUUAAGCUAGAGGCCAAAAGAUUAAAUGCAGGGGAUCCCUACAGGGUCAUCUAAAAAGAGGAGAGAGGAAAGUGCUCAUACAUCCCUAAGUUCUCCCACAUCCACCAGAGAGCAAGUUCAUUGAGUCUGUGAAUGCAUAGCUUAGCCAUUCCUCCAUAUUUUUCAACAAUGCCAAAACUACUUGGUCAUGGAAAAUCUUCAGCCUCGCUGACAUGUUUCUGUGACUCCCUGAGCUCUUGCAAUCAAACCAGGUUCCAUCAGAGACCAGCAUGUUCCAGGAAGAAGUCAAUAAAGGAUUUACAAAGGGACAAUCAACCUGGAAUAGAAAGCAUUGGAAACUAGUAUUGACCGGAAGUCAGAAUUCCCAUGGGGCAUGAGAAAGUUUAGGGGAAAGACAAGUGUCAUCUGAACCAGGAAGGUUCAUGGAAAAGUAGCUCCUCACAGGAACCAUGUGUAGAGAAAGGUAGACUGGACUUAGCUCCAUUCCCACAGAAUGCAGUCAAACAGGUAACUCUACCCAGGAGAAGUCAUCCUCUAGGACAGAGACACAGAGCAAGUAUGGCAGGACUGUCCUCCUUCUAAGAUCUAGAGAUGAUGACGUGCCACAUUAGCCUUCUAGAGAAGCAUGCUCCCUUCUACAAUAAACCCCUGUCUGUGCUACCACUUGGAGCUUCCAAACUCAAUUAUUUUGUCCUUAUAUCACCAUUGCUAUGAUGGAUGGAACUGAGACUUAUAGAUAACAAUGGCAGUUCUCAUGGAAAAUGACUUAAAUCAAUGCUAUUUUAUUGAAUAACUACUAUGUGACAUAGAUUUACAUGUAGACAAAUGAAAUAUUUUGUGGUCCAAGAUUUCCAGGCUCAUGAUUUUGUUGCCUGUGUUGAGAAGACAAAUAAUAGUGCAAGUCUUGUGUCUGGGGCCAAAUCAAGUCAUUACAUGUAAUAGAAAAAGCAGUGGACUUGAGGCAAGCCAUCUGCUAUGGUUUUAAUAAGUUUUUCCCAAGACCCAAGUAUCAAAGCUUGGUCACAGUUUAGUUAAAUUGCAAGGAAAAAGAAAAUGCUAAAUGGUGAGACAUGCUGGGAGAUUUUGUAUCAUUGUUCUCCAAGGAGAUUAUGUGAUUCUAUCUCUUCUUGCUUGCUUCCUGACCACCAACAGGUGAGCAGCUUUCUCUGCUGUACAUUCUUACUGUGAUGUGAUCCUUCAUCACAGGCACAAAAGCUACAAGGUCAAAUGACAAUGGAAAGGAACCUCCAGAUCUGUGAACCAAAAUAAACUUAUUAUUUUCUUAAGUUGAUUCUCUUAAGCAUGAUGUUAUAGUAACAGAGAGCUGACUAGUGCAACACUGGGAAUCUCUUCCUGGCUUUGUUGUUCCCAUGAUGCAUAACCUGACAGUGCAUUUCUCCUCAGGACUCCAUCUCCUUUAGGAGAGGAGGUAUAGACCCAAGUGACCUCUAGAACUGGGCCCUCUGCUUCUGUGAGCCCUCAAUGGCAAAAAAUCUGAGUGGUUCUGAGGUGCAUGGAGCAAUAUAGUCUGUUGUGGUCAGAGAGGCCACAGUGAGGGAAUGUGUGUUGAUCUGAGCCCAGAAGAAGUGUAUAUGGUGAAUGUUGCAGCCAAAUGGGGUGGUACCUGCCAAGUUGCAAGGGCCAAAUGGAUCUGGUCCAAGUGAAGAGGCAGCAGCCCACAUCUCCAAGAGAGGAAUAAAACUAGACCACAGGUAACAGGAGCAUCUGUGGGGGCUGGCAGGAAGGAGGUAGUUGUCACAAGCAGAUGCUGUGUACAACUGAAACCCAAAAUGUGUUUUCCCUCGCUUAGCUAAGCUGAAAAAGUGAGAUCCUCAGAAAUCAGAUAAGAGCCAAUUCCAGGUAGUUAACUCAGAAAUCAAGUGCCCUCUAGCUGUGUUUCUAAAACACUUAACAGUUUAAGUUACUCUCUUGUUUAUAAGACUUCCAAGAGUCCCUCUGCCUGUGGGAACAAGUCUAAACCCCUUAGUGUCACACAAUCCCAUCCAAUCUCUCACAGUAAGGCUGGUCAGUGCUGCACUGGGCAAGCUACUGGCUAGCUAUACUCACUGUUGUCCAGAUGAGCCUCUGUCUAUGCCAUGGAUGAUCAUUCACCCACAAACUUAGACAGUACUUAUUGAGCACUAACUAUAUGUUAUUUCUUGUGUCCCAGUUUGAAUAUGAAAUGUCCCUCACAGUCUUAUAUGUUAAUGACUGCAUCUCCAGCUGGUGAUGCUAUUUUGGGAGGUGGGGUUGAUUUCUCAAGUCUCACUUUUUCCAGUUUAGCUGACUGGGCGAAAACAAGUUUGAGGCUUCAGUGAUAGGCAGGUUCUUAAUUUGACAGGAACACACUGGUGCUUGUGACUUCCAGCCUCACUGUGUCCAGCUCCUCUACUUAAACAAAGUAGAUCCCAAAGUAACAAGCCUUUGAAAGUAAUGAUUCAUCCCCAGUCCCCUCCAUUCCCUCUGCUUCCUGAUUGCCAUGAACUGAAGAAUCUCUCAGCUGUGUACUUCUACCACCACAGUGUUCUGUCCAAGUGAAUGAGGCCAAGCAACCUGGAACUGACUGAGCCCUAUGAGUCAUAAGCCAAGUAAGUAAUAUCUCCUUUAAAAAGAAAGAAGAGAGAUGGUGAGAUGAUUCAGUCAGUAAAGCCCUUGAUGUGCAAACAAGGAGAACUUGAGUGUGGAUCCCCAGUACACACACAAACAACCAGACAUUUUGUGGGCAUCCAUAAUCCUCUCUCUGGGAAGGUAGAAGCAAGAAGAUUCCUGCAGCUUGCAAACCAGCUAGUCUUGUCCAGUCCGUAAAUCCAGAUUUAAUGAGACACUUUGUCUCCAAAAAAUAAUGUAGACUAAGCCAAUGAGUACAGGCACUUAUAGCCAAGCCUGAGUAUGAUCCUGAUAUCCACUGAUAUCCACAUGGUAGAAGAAUAGACUCCCAUAGGUUGUCCUUUGACAUCCACAUGAGUAGUGUGCCACAUGCACUUGCACAUAAAUCAGCAAUCAUGAAUGAAUGAAUAGAUAGAUAGAUGGGUAGAUAGAUAGAUAAUGAAUAAUAAAUGUAAAAAUAUUAAAUAAGAGAAGUAGAGGGAGAUAGCUGGCAUUAACCUCUGGCCAUUAUACACAUGCUUAUACAUGCACUUACACUCAUGUAUGCAUGUUGCGUGUGUGCAUACAUACAUACACACACAUGUAUGUGCACACACUCAGGAAUACAUACGCAUGCAUACAAAAGGUGAGGAAGAACAACUAACAGUUGUGUUCUUUUUCAGAUGUCUUGGUCACAGCUUCAGAAAAGUAACCCAUGUGGCCCAACUCCUCUGGUGAUCAGAGAAGUUACUAGCCCUGCAUUCCAGCCUGGAGAAAUAAUCUAAGUCUGCCUUUGUUGGUAUGUGGAACGGCUUUCGCCUCCAGCGGUGAUGUCGCUGGGUCACCUGCAGGCUACAGGGACCUGCACAUCUGUUGCCUUGGCAACGGUCAUAUAUUCCCAGCAUACAUUUGGUUCAGCCCCACCUUUACCUGGGAGCAGUUACAUCACAGUUUAAAUAAAAGCACCAGAAUUUGGCUUUUCUCUGGAGCCCUUCCAUCCUUGGACAGGAAAUUCAAAGAAUCAUGGUCUGCCUUCUUAGCAGACUGCACCUGAAAGUACAGGCUCUUGCCCACUGCCUGAAAAUAUGUCUAAGUGCUCAGUCGUUUUCCAAGGACCUGGAAAGGACUUCACUGAGCCUCUAUGCCUGGACCACCACAACUUCUUAUCCACCAUUAAACUGGAUUCUCACUGAGAGGCAGAUAAAAUGCAACAGUGUCAACUCCUCAUCCGUGAUCCUCUCAGCACUGACCUGGAGUUCACAGAACAGUUACAUUGUUCAGUUUGUUAGAAAUAUGGAAUCCCAAGUCCCACCUCAACCCCAACUUUAACUACUUUAUUUGUGUGAAUUGCAUGUUCACACAUGUGCCAUUUUGCAUAUGUCAGAAGAGAGAGGCCAAUGACAUAGCCCUGCAAUACAACAGACUACAACCUAUACACAGUAGACAAAGCUCAUAGUCCAUGUGGGAAGCAUUUCGAUGCCAUCAUUGAAGAAUAAGACAUAAUGACAAGGUUUUCUCCACUGUCUUCUAUCAUCUGGAACGAACUGGUCAACUUCACAAAGCCCAUGCAGAGCCAAAACGGUGAGUCACAGAAGCAGCAUUCAGUAUGAUGUGGCCCACAUGGAGCUCAAAACAACAAACCACAAGGACACAGGGCUUAGAGAUACGGCAAGAGGUAGCAAAUCAAGGAAAGAAAGCAAGAUAAUAAUUUCAGAAAUGCUAGGACAACUGUUCUUUGGAGGAAGCCGAAGGAAAGUAACCAGCAAAGAGAGCAAAGGAGCUUCUAAGGUCCAGAUACUGAUUUGCCUUUCUAAUCUGAAUAGGGGAUCCCUGGUCAAGCUCCUCUUCCUUGUCCUUGUUAUCUGUCAUUGUUUUUAAAUUGUGUAUAAUUGUGUGUUUUCUCUGUACACUUUGCCAUUGUCUUACUAUUAUAUUAUUAUUAUAUAUUGACAUUGAUAUAUGUGUAUGAUGUGUAAACCUCCAUACAUAGUGAGCCAGCAGAGAGGAGACCUCAGCCUCUCCUGAGCGCAACUUCUGCCUCAGGCUUCUUGGAACAUUCUCCUCCUAACCCUACCUUGUUUCUCCUCACAGAUCUUUCUCCAUUAGCCAUUCCCCACAUUUUACAGAGUUCCCAGGAACCUUCUUAUCCUAUUUGCUCCAUGUACUUUUGUUUCCUUCUAUUUAUUAAAUUUUUUCAGAGUCUAAUUUCAUGAUCUUUCUCCCAUCUCAAAAACAUUAUCAAAAUAAUAUCAUUAAGAAAAAUACCAAAUAAGUGAAUGAAUAAAUAAAACAAAAAGCCUGCCAAAAAGAAAUAUGAAAGUAGCUCCCCAUCUACAGCUGACAUGGGGCCUAUGCUGGAGUGUAUGGUCGAUACACUCAUUGAUAUUUUCGCUUUCUCAGCAGGUAUCAUUUGCACCAUGGCUUCCUAGUUAGGGAUGGGAUCCUGUGUCCACUUCUGCUCCCACUGCUGGGCCUCAGGACUUCUCUUGAAUCCAUAAGGCUGUGUUAAUCCUGUAUGAAAUGUUUACCAAGCUGAAAAUCAAUUCCUUACCAGCAUGUCUCAGGGUUCCUCUCUCUAUCCACCUAGGAGGAUGCUGGCAUGCCAAUGUGUUUUGUGACUUAUUCUGGGCCACAGCUUGAAGUAAGCAGAAGGAUUUGAACUCCAAAGUGGCUGACCCUAAAACUCAUCCCACUAUCUACCUUUCCUAAGUAACAGAAAAAGAUCUACCCUGUCCCACAUACUACGACCAUUUGCCACCGCCUGACAAGCCUUCUCUCUCCAUUGAGCCCCAACCAGAAAGGUGCUUCUAGCUUUCUUUGAGGAAGCACCAGGAGAGUCAAUGGUGAUCCCCAACAUGGAUACAUCUCAGA